UACGAAGGGGGCUAGCGUUGCUCGGAAUGACUGGGCGUAAAGGGCGCGUAGGCGGCUCAUACAGUCAGAUGUGAAAUUCCUGGGCUUAACCUGGGGGCUGCAUUUGAUACGUGUGGGCUUGAGUGGGGAAGAGGGUCGUGGAAUUCCCAGUGUAGAGGUGAAAUUCGUAGAUAUUGGGAAGAACACCGGUGGCGAAGGCGGCGACCUGGUCCUUGACUGACGCUGAGGCGCGAAAGUGUGGGGAUCAAACAGG
rnacentral:rRNA from 1 species